GGAAGAAGAGAAGGAGGAAGAGGAAGAAGACAGCUGAUCUCCACCUUGCAGGGAGGAAAGCAGGUGGUUCAGACGGUGCAGAUGUUGGUGAACUGCAGACCAUCGCGGUUCUUCCUGCAGCCUCUGAGUUGGAGGAUCUCAUCAGUGUCCGUCUUCCUGACCGCCGGUCGGUUUUUACCUCCAGGAUGUCCAGAGACCUUCAGCUUCUGGAGCAGGAACCACAUGAGCUCCAUGUGCUGAUGAAACAUUUCUAAUUUAAAAUGUGUCUGAUGUUCUUAGAGUUGAAGUGCAUUAACAAUCUGUUGUUUUUCACUUCAAUAUGUUUAAUUAUGAUUCAUCUGAUGUCCAAGUUACACUGAGAACAAAUAAAACUGUAUUCCUUCUAAUCUGACUGGUUCUAGUUUUAAUCAAACCUUCAUGUUUCCACUUUUUAGUCUCUAAGAAUUAAAAGUUUAAACUCUUAGUCUUAUUUAUCACUAAUUAAGGUUCCAGGAUUGUAUUAGGACCUUGAUGCCAAACAAACUACAGUUUGUACAAUAAUGUGAGGAGAGAUUAUAAAAAAGAGACUUUGUUCACUGAGAGAAAACAGCAUUUAUUUU